UACGGAGGGUGCAAGCGUUGCCCGGAUUUAUUGGGUUUAAAGGGUGCGUAGGCGGCUUUUUAAGUCAGUGGUGAAAUCCAGCAGCUUAACUGUUGAAUUGCCAUUGAUACUGGAGAGCUUGAGUACAGACGAGGUAGGCGGAAUUUAUGGUGUAGCGGUGAAAUGCAUAGAUACCAUAAAGAACACCGAUUGCGAAGGCAGCUUACUAGGCUGUAACUGACGCUGAGGCACGAAAGUGUGGGGAUCAAACAGG
rnacentral:rRNA from 1 species